GACGAACGCUGGCGGCGUGCUUAACACAUGCAAGUCGAACGGAAAGGCCCUGCUUGCAGGGUGCUCGAGUGGCGAACGGGUGAGUAACACGUGGGUGAUCUGCCCCUUACUUUGGGAUAAGCCUGGGAAACUGGGUCUAAUACUGGAUAGGACCAUGCUGUAGGUGGUGUGGUGGAAAGAUUAGUUUCGGUAAGGGAUGAGCUCGCGGCCUAUCAGCUUGUUGGUGGGGUAAUGGCCUACCAAGGCGUCGACGGGUAGCCGGCCUGAGAGGGUGGACGGCCACAUUGGGACUGAGAUACGGCCCAGACUCCUACGGGAGGCAGCAGUGGGGAAAAUUGCACAAUGGGCGCAAGCCUGAUGCAGCGACGCCGCGUGGGGGAUGACGGCCUUCGGGUUGUAAACUCCUUUCGGCCAUGACGAAGCCCUUGUGGUGACGGUAGUGGUAGAAGAAGCACCGGCUAACUACGUG
rnacentral:rRNA from 1 species